UGAAGUCCAAAACACUUGGAGGGAAGGCCCAAGUUUGCCCACGCCUGGUGUAAAUGGUUCUAUUGAGAGCUGGGCCUCUAGUGAGGCGGUUGGGCCUGUUUAUGACGGCUCCCCCGGUUGCCUAGCAACCAAGGGGUCUGGAUGCUCACCGUUGGCCUGCCUGGACGGCGCCUCCUUCGGACGGAGCCGAGAUGGUGCCGGCGCUGCGCUCUCGGGGGCCGGCUGCCUCCGCCCGAAAGGGGGGCGAUGGGCUAUGGCCCCAGCGCCCCCAGGCCCCCCUGACGCGCUUCCCCGAGUGAGGGAGCGAGGGAGCGAGCCACUCAGCCGCCAUGAGCCGGAACCAGCCUCGCGCCCGCCUCGAGCCCCGCGAUUUAGAGGCACACGAUAGUAAAUUCCCAGAGAUUGCAAACCUUCAAGAAUCCGAACAUAUCACUUCUCAGCCACUGAAAGAACAAAAAUUGCCAAUGCUAACAUCUGACCACAGAUUUCUGGAUACCAAAGUCUCAGGAAAAUCAUCCAGCAGUUGUCCCUUUGAGAAUGGUUCAGAAAAUGCAUUGAUAAAGUCGAAAAGGAUAAAACAAGCUCUUCCAGUAAUGAUGAGCCCAGUUUGCCACCUUUGUAUUUGCUUCCACCUUCUUCAUCGAAGUAUUUUCUUGAAAGCUACUACAAAAGCAAGUAAGCUUUAA
rnacentral:lncRNA from 1 species